GUCCACGCCCUAAACGAUGUCAACUAGUUGUUGGUAGAGUAAAAUCUAUGAGUAACGCAGCUAACGCGUGAAGUUGACCGCCUGGGGAGUACGAUCGCAAGAUUAAAACUCAAAUGAAUUGACGGGGGCCCGCACAAGCGGUGGAUUAUGUGGAUUAAUUCGAUGCAACGCGAAAAACCUUACCUGGCCUUGACAUGUACGGAACUUUCCAGAGAUGGAUUGGUGCUCGAAAGAGAGCCGUAACACAGGUGCUGCAUGGCUGUCGU
rnacentral:rRNA from 1 species